rnacentral:rRNA from 1 species
UACAGGGGUCUCAAGCGUUGUUCGGAUUCAUUGGGCGUAAAGGGUGCGUAGGUGGCGAUGUAAGUCGGGUGUGAAAUUUCGGAGCUUAACUCCGAAACUGCAUUCGAUACUGCGGUGCUUGAGGACUGGAGAGGAGACUGGAAUUCAUGGUGUAGCAGUGAAAUGCGUAGAGAUCAUGAGGAAGACCAGUGGCGAAGGCGGGUCUCUGGACAGUUCCUGACACUGAGGCACGAAGGCCAGGGGAGCAAACGGG